rnacentral:lncRNA from 1 species
GUGGUUUAAGAUGGUACAAGAGAUGUGAAGAUGCCUUCAGCUGAGCACGCACGACUUCUGCAGGGAUUCAGGCAUAUCUGCAUGAGUUCUACAGGUGUACAAGCAUGAUUGCUUUCCCUCUAUUUCUGGCUGUGGAAAGAUCAGCAGCCGUCUGAUUGUUUUUCAGGGACAGCAUGAUGUUGGGAUCAGUGCUGAUGGCAGUCACUGUGGGUGUGUGUGCUUAUUGACAGGUGUGGUGGUGACUGCUCCUUUGUGCCAUGUGAAUAUGAAUGGGGCGUGUGUUUAA